AACGCUAGCUACAGGCUUAACACAUGCAAGUCGAGGGGCAGCGGGAUUGAAGCUUGCUUCAAUCGCCGGCGACCGGCGCACGGGUGAGUAACGCGUAUCCAACCUUCCGCUUACUCGGGGAUAGCCUUUCGAAAGAAAGAUUAAUACCCGAUGGUAUCUUAAGCACACAUGUAAUUAAGAUUAAAGAUUUAUCGGUAAGCGAUGGGGAUGCGUUCCAUUAGGUAGUAGGCGGGGUAACGGCCCACCUAGCCUACGAUGGAUAGGGGUUCUGAGAGGAAGGUCCCCCACAUUGGAACUGAGACACGGUCCAAACUCCUACGGGAGGCAGCAGUGAGGAAUAUUGGUCAAUGGACGAGAGUCUGAACCAGCCAAGUAGCGUGAAGGAUGAAGGUCCUACGGAUUGUAAACUUCUUUUAUAAGGGAAUAAACCCUCCCACGUGUGGGAGCUUGUAUGUACCUUAUGAAUAAGCAUCGGCUAACUCCGUGCCAGCAGCCGCGGUAAUACGGAGGAUGCGAGCGUUAUCCGGAUUUAUUGGGUUUAAAGGGAGCGCAGACGGGUCGUUAAGUCAGCUGUGAAAGUUUGGGGCUCAACCUUAAAAUUGCAGUUGAUACUGGCGUCCUUGAGUGCGGUUGAGGUGUGCGGAAUUCGUGGUGUAGCGGUGAAAUGCUUAGAUAUCACGAAGAACUCCGAUUG
rnacentral:rRNA from 1 species